GAUGAACGCUGGCGGCGUGCCUAAUACAUGCAAGUCGAGCGAACAGACGAGGAGCUUGCUCCUCUGACGUUAGCGGCGGACGGGCGAGUAACACGUGGAUAACCUACCUAUAAGACUGGGAUAACUUCGGGAAACCGGAGCUAAUACCGGAUAAUAUAUUGAACCGCAUGGUUCAAUAGUGAAAGACGGUUUUGCUGUCACUUAUACAUGGAUCCGCGCCGCAUUAGCUAGUUGGUAAGGUAACGGCUUACCAAGGCAACGAUGCGUAGCCGACCUGAGAGGGUGAUCGGCCACACUGGAACUGAGACACGGUCCAGACUCCUACGGGAGGCAGCAGUAGGGAAUCUUCCGCAAUGGGCGAAAGCCUGACGGAGCAACGCCGCGUGAGUGAUGAAGGUCUUCGGAUCGUAAAACUCUGUUAUUAGGGAAGAACAAAUGUGUAAGUAACUAUGCACGUCUUGACGGUACCUAAUCAGAAAGCCACGGCUAACUACGUG
rnacentral:rRNA from 1 species